GGGGCGGGACAGUAAAUUUGACGUUGUUCUCUCAUCUGUCUGCCAUUAUCAAUCUCACACAUUUUUUUUCUUUUUUGAAAGUCUUGAUAACACUAUCGUGGAGUUUUUCUUUUAUUACCUCAGCAAACAGGACUAUACAAAAGUGAUUAGUUGUACUCUCUUAUUCACUGCGCUCUUAGUUCACCCAACUAUGAAGAUUUCUGCCAUUGAGAAACCCGGAAAUGUGAAAAGGAUCUAUAACCAAAAACGCCACUCAGGCUCAUGUGAGAUAUGAGCUCAGGGCUACAUUUAUGAGAACCAAGAAAUACGAUUUGCAGUUUUUUUAUUGACAAGUCCAGUAGAGGUCGCUGUGUACGUUUUUGGCAAUCUUAAAUAUGAUACUGGUUCACAUUUUCUUGUGCCAUUUCUUACCAAUCCACCAGAGGCCAUUGUGUACAGCUUGUUGUGAAUAAUAAAUCAGCUAGCUAUUGACUGACCUACACACCCUCCCUUAUCGCAACUGAUAGAUUGUGCUUUUAAAAGGAAACUAGAAUUAAGUUAUCACAUUGUACCAUUAUUUUACAUAAUUUUUCCCUUUUUUUCCCAGUUUUACCUGGUUUCUGGAAUUUUCCUUUACUGGACUCAAACUCCAGUCUGCUCCGCUCUGCAUCCCAAAUCCCACACCGUACAUGGCAAACCAGUCAACCAGACAAGCCAUCCAUAUGGAGGAUCCACAAGAAGCCACAAGAUCACCCUGCUUUUAUUGCUUGUGUUUUAACACCACAAGAGGAGGCACAUCUGACAAGAACACAACCUCGGCUGUCACUGCAUACAGUGUCUGAAAUGGUUCUGUGGUGAGAAGGCAGGGCCGAGUCCGUGGGAACGGAAUGAGGCCGCCGCGUAAGUGAAUACACCUGUGGAGCGCACCGGCCUCGAAUACCACGGAAGGAGCUCUGGACUAUGAGAGGAGAAACGAUGCCAGAGGAAGCCGAGAGAGGACCGACCCGGACAUAAUGUUUUACUUUUGCUUUCAGUUUGACUUUCGUUGACAGUUUGCUUUCGUCCGUAUGUCUUGGUUUAGAUGGCAGUCUCCGUGAGACAGAGACUCUCUGUUAAUAAAUAUUUUAA